rnacentral:rRNA from 1 species
GAUCAUGGCUCAGGAUGAACGCUAGCUACAGGCUUAACACAUGCAAGUCAGGGGCAGCAGAUCGAUAGCUUGCUAUUGAUGCUGGCGACCGGCGCACGGGUGAGUAACGCGUAUCCAACCUUCCCUAUAGUAGAGGAUAGCCCGGCGAAAGUCGGAUUAAUACUCUAUGUUUUCCAAUGCAGACAUCUAUGUUGGAACAAAGGUUCACCGCUAUAGGAUGGGGAUGCGUCUGAUUAGGUUGUUGGCGGGGUAACGGCCCACCAAGCCUACGAUCAGUAGGGGUUCUGAGAGGAAGGUCCCCCACAUUGGAACUGAGACACGGUCCAAACUCCUACGGGAGGCAGCAGUGAGGAAUAUUGGUCAAUGGGCGAGAGCCUGAACCAGCCCAAGUAGCGUGCAGGAUGACGGCCCUAUGGGUUGUAAACUGCUUUUAUACGGGGAUAAAGUGAGGGACGUGUCCCUUUUUGUAGGUACCGUAUGAAUAAGGACCGGCUAAUUCCGUGCCAGCCGCGGC